rnacentral:rRNA from 1 species
CCUACGGGGGGCUGCAGUGGGGAAUAUUGGACAAUGGGCGAAAGCCUGAUCCAGCCAUGCCGCGUGUGUGAAGAAGGCCUUCGGGUUGUAAAGCACUUUCAGUGGGGAAGAAAGCCUUGGGGCUAAUACCCUCGAGGAAGGACAUCACCCACAGAAGAAGCACCGGCUAACUCCGUGCCAGCAGCCGCGGUAAUACGGAGGGUGCGAGCGUUAAUCGGAAUUACUGGGCGUAAAGCGCGCGUAGGCGGUCUGAUAAGCCGGUUGUGAAAGCCCCGGGCUCAACCUGGGAACGGCAUCCGGAACUGUCAGGCUAGAGUGCAGGAGAGGAAGGUGGAAUUCCCGGUGUAGCGGUGAAAUGCGUAGAGAUCGGGAGGAAUACCAGUGGCGAAGGCGGCCUUCUGGACUGACACUGACGCUGAGGUGCGAAAGCGUGGGUAGCAAACAGGAUUAGAUACCCGUGUAGUC